rnacentral:lncRNA from 1 species
AUCUAAGCGGCGAUCGAGCUCCUUCAGCUUGUGGUUGUAUUCAUCUAGUCAUCGCUGAGACACAUUAGGAUGUUUAGAAUAUCCUAGGGUAGAAUCUUUUCCAAAAGAGAAAAAACUUGACGGAGACUGGGGUCCCUUGUGUGGAGCUCAUCGAGGGGAAGGAGAUCGGCGAUCGUCAGAGUUGGCACAUGGAGUGUGCUAGGGGUCAGAUUGCGGUGAC